AUACAUCACCUCACCAUUUUUUAAGCAACACAGACGCGAAAACGUUAUUAACAUCUUACGAAAGAAACGCAAUUGCUAGCGAGUCUGGGAGCUAUGGCGGAGGAGGAGGACGACGACGAGAGCUUCGGCGACUUCACCUUCGCGUCGUUUCCGAGUCAACCCUUCCCUUCCACGACGAACGACAAUAAUAACUUCCUCGUCGACAACGAUUGGGGCGACUUCGUUAACCAUUCCAGCCAGAUCAACAACGACCUAUCGAAACCCUUACCCGAUCCCACGACGAAACACGUGAAUGGCAUCAACGACGUCGCAGUUCAAGCCGAGGUGGCGAAAAAGGCCAAUAGAGCUAUUCCGCUCUCGAUCUUCGGCGAGGAGGAGGAGGAAGAGGAGGAACCAUCUCCUUCUAAUGUUUUCCCCAACGGCGGGGUUGUCAAAGGGGGAUCUGGUUCGAAUGGGUCCGUUGGAAUCAGUGAUUUGAUUUCCAAUUUGUAUAAUCAGCAGCUUCCUCAAAUGGAUUCUAUCAACGGAUCGGUUUCGGUAUCCAAUGGUGCUGCUCCCAAUCCCGCGAACACCAAGGAAAACAAAUUGAAUGAGGAGGAGGAUGAGGAUGGGUGGGAAUUCAAGUCUGCGGAAUGGGAAACUGGAAUCAAGAGCCAGGAUGUUAAGGCUGAAUUGCAAAAGCAUGAUAAUGGUGCUCUUCAUGCUGUUACUGUGUCCAAUUCGUCCAAUGGGAUUUCGGACAAAGCUGGUGGGUGGCACUUGGAAUUUGAGUUAAGUCCAAUAUUUGCUUCGCAAAAUCAUAUUAACCCACAACCUGGUCUGAAUGGUGAAUCAAAAGAUGUCGCAACUGGGUUUGCCAUGCCCAGCCAAAGUUUUGGGGAAUUGAAUUCAGGGUCUGGAUCAAAUCAAAAUUUGAAAGCAUUGGAGAAGGCUGACAUUUAUCCCACUAGUAUGGAAUUACUCAAAUUUGACAGUACAAUUGGUUCAUCUCUUGCAUCAGUAUCUCAUCAAUCUGAUGAAUGGAACUUCGGAUUUAAUUUCAAUUCCAGUUCUGUGGGGGAAGACAAUCAUAGCUCAGAGCCACACUUGAAAAGAAUCGAAACCAAAAUCAAUCAGGCUGAUAACAGCAUAAACAAUGCUUCCCCAACUAAUAUAAAUGUCAAUUCAGAUGUCAAUUUGUUUGAAUCAGAGGGUGCUAUUACAAAACAAGAGAAGCCCCUAACAGGCACAGAGAAUCGUAGGGAAGCCUUGCCUCUGUCAAUUUUUGGUGAUGAGACACCAGAUACUGAUGAACAAUCUGUGCCUCAAGAUCUAUCUCACUGUACACCAACAUCCCCAGUAAGGAACAAUUUCAAUAGCCUUGCAUCCAAGUUAUCUAUCAAUGACAUAUGGAGUUUGUAUAAUCAAGCUGAAAAACAAACUUCUCCAAAAGCAAGUGAAAAUCAGAUUCUUGCCUUACCUGAAGUAUCAGGCUCCAGUUUGGUUACUGAUAAUGAUGGUUUAGAUGAUGAUUUCUGGGACUUUAAGGAUGCUUCAACUGAAUCACGAUUCACCCAUGAAUCACAGCGAACUUCUUUUAGUUACACAUCGCAAGUCAAUGACAAUGGGUUGCAUUCUUCCCCAACUGUUUUAAAUUCUGAUUUGGCCAACGAUGAAGAUGAUUUUGAGGAUGAUUCAUGGGAAUUCAAGGAUGCCAUCUAUGGAACACAAAGUCAAGAUCACACAUCUACUCUAGAUCUCACAGAUUUACCGGUGGCCCAGUUAUCCACGAAAUUAGAGCUGAGUGACUAUGCAGAGUUUUAUAGCAAAUUGAAGGAUGAAUUGUGCAAUUAUGUUCUGUCUCAUCUUCAGAAACUCAAGAAAACUCUAAAUGAUGCUGCCCUUUCGGGUGAAGAUGCCAAAGCAAAAGCUCUUGAGGAACAAAUUCAGGAAUUCUUGGAGAUACUGCAUCAGGACAAAAUGAAUGUCCCUACUGAAUAUCUCUCUGAGGAUUAUUGCCCAACAAAUGUCUGCUUUAAUGAACUUCUUGAAGUUUUGAAGGAACCUAGGUUCCAACCUUUUGAGUCCGAAUACCAGCUAGCAUCAAGGUUGUUGAUGGCUGAGAAGGAUAUUAAAUCUGCAAUUGAACUUUUGAAAGAUACAGUAUCCACGUUAAGGAUUCUCAAGUUGGGAUCAAGAGAAGAUCAGUGUAAUUAUCUUACCAUAUGGUUCAAAAUAGCCUUUGUUUGUUCUCAAGAGCUGAAGCAUGGUGCUGAUGUUUGGAAGCAAGUUGUACUAAAGAAUGUCCAUGACCAGAUAUUAUCUGACCGAAAAGGUGUUCAGUAUAUCAUUGCACUCGGGGAAAUUUAUAGAGUUGCAGAAAUCAUUGGUGCUUCAAUCAAACUUCACAAACCUUGGAUGUUAUCAGAUUACACAGAUCAUAAAAGUUUAUGUUUCCUUUUGGACGAGUGUUAUAGCAUAUGGUUGGCUUCUGGACUUCAAGAAGCACUUUUGAGUAUAUCAAGUCAGAAUAAUUUUGAGCCAGAUGAAAUUUCAAGGGAAUUAGUUGAGUCCAUCAAGUAUAUUCACGAGCUUGAUGAACAUGCACUUCGUAGCUAUGUUAUCUCUGGAGAACAAACUACUUGUCAGUUGUCAGCCUUGCCAGGGGGUUGCAUACCAGGGUUGAAUUUGGUGACAUGGAACGGGAAGCAUUGCAUCGUGAAGCUUGCAAACUUGUGGAUCAACCUAAUAAGUUCGGAUUCACCCAAGAUGUGACACCUGCCAAUUCAACUGUCCCUCCUUCACAACGAGUGACUAUUUCACUUUUUCAGUGGUUGUUUCGCGUUUCACAAUGAGUUAGAUUGUGGCGGGACCCAUUGUUUUGUUAGUGGGGGUGAGACCUUUGGCGCACGAACAACAGCUGUAGUGAAGGGAGAGUCUGAGUCUGUAUGGGAUGAAAAUCAUUCUAUUGAGUCGAACCAGGCAAAGUUACCAAUUAAGUUCAUUCUUUCUUCAAUAGGUUACCAUUCUUUCAGGAAAGCUUUAUAACAAUAGCCGGAUUUGUUACAGGUGUAAGAUGUAUUACUAGUGAUAACGAAGAAUUAUAUACUACGACAUAGAGUAUAAUUUUGGAUACAAUCCAGCCAUGCAGAAGAAACUGUAUUGCUUAGUUAUCGUAUGAUUCUGGUGUUGUAAAGUAACUGGGAUUCUUCCCUUCUCAAUUUUAUACAAUGCACUUGCCGAAUCAGCUCAAGACAACUCAAUCGGAAAGACAACUCAAUCGGAAAGACAACUCAAUUGGAAAGACAACCGCAGCAACAGUACGUUAUAUACUUACAAGUGAAAUGAUAAAUGUAUUUUUUUUCUUAUGUUUUUUUC